GGGCCGGUAGCUCAGCGGUCAGAGCAGCGGGCUCAUAACCCGAUGGUCGCAGGUUCGAAUCCUGCCCGGCCCA
rnacentral:tRNA from 1 species